rnacentral:rRNA from 1 species
UACGGGGGGAGCAAGCGUUGUUCGGAUUUACUGGGCGUAAAGGGCGCGUAGGCGGUCCGACAAGUCGGGGGUGAAAUCCUGCAGCUUAACUGCAGAAGUGCCUUCGAUACUGUCGGUCUUGAGGGAGAUAGGGGUGUGCGGAACUUCCAGUGGAGCGGUGAAAUGCGUUGAUAUUGGAAGGAACGCCGGAGGCGAAAGCGGCGCACUGGAUCUCUACUGACGCUGAGGCGCGAAAGCCAGGGGAGCAAACGGG